rnacentral:rRNA from 1 species
AUUGAACGCUGGCGGCAGGCCUAACACAUGCAAGUCGAACGAGUCGCGGACGUGUGAGAAAUGUCUGGGAAACUGCCUGAUGGAGGGGGAUAACUACUGGAAACGGUAGCUAAUCCCGCAUGCCAUCAGAUGUGCCCAGAUGUGAUUAGCUGGUUGGUGGGGUAACGGCUUACCAAGGCGAAGAUCCCUAGCUGGUCUGAGAGGAUGACCAGCCACAUUGGAACUGAGACACGGCCCAGACUCCUACGGGAGGCAGCAGUGGGGAAUAUUGCACAAUGGGCGCAAGCCUGACGGAGCAAGGCCGCGUGGAUGAAGAAGGCCUUCGGGUUGUAAAGUACUUUCAGCAGGGAGGCGUUACCCGACGAAGAAGCACCGGCUAACUCCGUGCCAGCAGCCGCGGUAAUUC